CAGCAGACUCAAGCAGCACGACCCCUGAACCGACGUCUUCCACACCUGCACACACAUGCAACAUUAUGUGGACCUCUGAGAAGAACGAUGAUGAUGAUGAUGAUGAUGAUGAUGACACACUUCAGCAGCGCAAGCUUAGAUGUUACAGCUAAACUUGGAACUCCAGAUUUUCCAUUUUGAUCAUGUGAUGUUGGAUUUAUCACAGUUUUGCUCACUUGCUUUCCAUUUACAACCUUUUCGAUUUACCUUUCGGAGGCGUUCAGGGGAGAACUCCAGUCCCACCACAAACAAAGUGAAGAACACCCCCAACUCCCCCAGAGUCUCCACCUGCACCAUAGACUGCAAGACACAGAGAGAAGCAUAACACUGAACCUUCUGCUGAAGCGAGAACCACAAACCCUGAUGCUGUUGAGACCCGAAGGACCAAGCAGAACCCCGGAAAUGAUGUAUCCAAACAUGGGAGGAAGGCCCACCAGACUGCAAAUCCAACCACAGGGGAGUGACAGCAUUACCACUGACACCAGGUCCUAAACGCAAAUAAUGAAAAAAAUAUUACACAAAUGCAAAAAAUAAAUGUCUAUAUGCUCUUUUUUUGUUGUGUGAAUAAACCAAGUUCAACGCAG